rnacentral:misc_RNA from 1 species
UAACUUUGGAAUCGCCCUGUAAACAUGGCGCAAGGAAAAUUUAAGUCCAAGGGAAGUCUUCCGAAAGGAGUCAAAGGAAAACAAAGUCAUAAACAUAAGAACUCAGGACCAAAGAGAGGAGGGACUGGAGAGGAGUAUCAAAGCAAACAUUGAACAUGAAACUGCAAUGAAAGCCCAGUCUGUGGAACCCAAACAUUUCAGAGUCGUCAAAUCAUCAGCAACAUCCUCUUCCAGCACCACAGACAAAGGAAACAAUGUCAAAAAGAAAUAAUUGGGGAUAUACAUGUAUAUAAAAAGUUAGGAUUUUUUUCUGUUCUGUGAUGUUACAAACAAUUUUUAAUAGAUUUAUAUUCCAAUGAAAACUAGUUUCCUCAGCUCUUUUUAUGCUGUAAUGACUUAAAAGAUUACUCAUAAAGGUUAUAUCUGGAAAAAAAGCUACGGUAACUACUUCUAAAAUGUAAUUGUAAUUACCUGUUUAUAUAGGAUAUUUGACUGUUGGCUUUUGUUUUAAAUGUCAUACUGGUAGCUCUAUAUAUGUCAGAACACUCUGCAUUGGGAAGGUUUACAUUUCAGUGUAUUCAUGUACCGGUAUAUCAAAAGCAGGAAAAGGUCUUUUAACAUAUUAAGUGGUGAAAAUGAGUAAGUUCUUCAGCAUGUACUUGAAAAGGGAAAAUCCCUAUGAAAUUAUUGUUACCGGUAUGUGUAUUUAGAAAAAUUAUGAAGAUGCAAUAAACAAAUUUUCUAUACUUAG